CACGAGCGCACCCACAUCUUUAGUUGCCAGCAGUUCGGCUGGGCACUCUAAAGAAACUGCCCGUGAUAAGCGGGAGGAAGGUGUGGAUGACGUCAAGUCCUCAUGGCCCUUACGGGUUGGGCUACACACGUGCUACAAUGGCAAGUACAGUGGGUUAAUCCCCAAAACUUGUCUCAGUUCGGAUUGGGGUCUGCAACUCGACCCCAUGAAGUCGGAAUCGCUAGUAAUCGCAGAACAGCAUGCUGCGGUGAAUACGUUCCCGGGCCUU
rnacentral:rRNA from 1 species